rnacentral:tRNA from 1 species
GCGGGUGUCGUAUAGUGGUUAUUACAUCGGCUUGCCAAGUCGAGUACGGCGGUUCAACUCCGCUCACCCGCUCAA